rnacentral:rRNA from 1 species
UCUUUAUAUUUACCUGGAUUUUAAUUUAUUUGGUAGGAGUGUAAUUUUGUCAAGGAAGUAUUUCGUUGGGGUGACGGGGAGAUAUAAUAAACUCUCCUUAAAAUGAAACAUAAAUGCAUGGUUUAAUGAUCCAUUAUUAAUGAUUAAAAGACUAAGU